rnacentral:rRNA from 1 species
AGCGAACGCUGGCGGCAGGCCUAACACAUGCAAGUCGAACGAACCUUUCGGGGUUAGUGGCGGACGGGUGUGUAACACGUGGGAACGUGCCCUUAGGUUCGGAAUAACUCAGGGAAACUUGUGCUAAUACCGAAUGUGCCCUUCGGGGGAAAGAUUUAUCGCCUUUAGAGCGGCCCGCGUCUGAUUAGCUAGUUGGUUGAGGUAAUGGCUCACCAAGGCGACGAUCAGUAGCUGGUCUGAGAGGAUGAUCAGCCACAUUGGGACUGAGACACGGCCCAGACUCCUACGGGAGGCAGCAGUGGGUAAUCUUGCGCAAUGGGCGAAAGCCUGACGCAGCCAUGCCGCGUGAAUGAUGAAGGUCUUAGGAUUGUAAAAUUCUUUCACCGGGGACGAUAAUGACGGUACCCGGAGAAGAAGCCCCGGCUAACUUCGUG